UGAAAGGGAAGCGAAUGGAGUUAGCAAUUCGCCCUGUCAGACUCAGCUGCUCGUGCGUCGCGACGUGCGCGCUCUCGAUCCGCAUGGACGAGGCGUGCACGGGUGCGACGUUCGGACGGCGCACUUCUGGCGGGCGAGCGUCAGCGUCGGUUGUCGACGGGCGAUAAGGACGCAUGGAAGGUGGACCUGUACUCGUACGGGUUGUUAAGCCUUGCGCUCGCAUAGCUCGACGGCGACCGUGGCUCUUGGAGGCGACGCGUGCCUGGCUGGCGACUCACUCGAUCGUUCCGGCAUGUCGACUGCGGCGGACGGCACGCCUGUGCGCUCAAACUGCUGCCGAUCGAUUGUUGUGAUGUUCGCACACUACGCGUCGAAGAUGCUGACGACCAUACGGCUCCAUCCGACCCGUCUUGAAACACGGACCAAGGAGUCUAACAUGUGCGCGAGUCUCCGGGUGAUUGAAACCCGUGGGCAUAAUGAAAGUAAAGAUCGUCCUAGACGAUUGAGGUGAGAAGCUUCUUCCACAUCGGGGAGGCUGCAUCAUCGACCGACCUAUUCUGCUCUCAGAAAGGUUUGAGUAAGAGCGUAUCUGUUG
rnacentral:rRNA from 1 species